UACGUAGGUGACCAGCGUUGUCCGGAUUUACUGGGCGUAAAGAGCGCGCAGGCGGUCGUUCAAGUCGAGUGUGAAAGCCCCCGGCUCAACUGGGGAGGGUCAUUCGAUACUGAUCGACUUGAAGGCAGGAGAGGGAAGUGGAAUUCCCGGUGUAGUGGUGAAAUGCGUAGAUAUCGGGAGGAACACCAGUGGCGAAGGCGACUUUCUGGGCAUUUCCUGACGCUGAGACGCGAAAGCGUGGGGGAGCGAACCGG
rnacentral:rRNA from 1 species